rnacentral:rRNA from 1 species
GACGAACGCUGGCGGCGUGCCUAAUACAUGCAAGUAGAACGCUGAAGGAGGAGCUUGCUUCUCUGGAUGAGUUGCGAACGGGUGAGUAACGCGUAGGUAACCUGCCUGGUAGCGGGGGAUAACUAUUGGAAACGAUAGCUAAUACCGCAUAAUAGUAGAUGUUGCAUGACAUUUGCUUAAAGGGUGCAAUUGCAUCACUACCAGAUGGACCUGCGUUGUAUUAGCUAGUUGGUGGGGUAACGGCUCACCAAGGCGACGAUACAUAGCCGACCUGAGAGGGUGAUCGGCCACACUGGGACUGAGACACGGCCCAGACUCCUACGGGAGGCAGCAGUAGGGAAUCUUCGGCAAUGGACGGAAGUCUGACCGAGCAACGCCGCGUGAGUGAAGAAGGGUUUCGGAUCGUAAAGCUCUGUUGUAAGAGAAGAACGAGUGUGAGAGUGGAAAGUUCACACUGUGACGGUAGCUUACCAGAAAGGGACGGCUAACUACGUG